CAGCAACAUAAUGUUCAAUAUGUACCCUUGGUAGACAUUCUGGUGCAUAUUCUCAUUGAUCUACAUUGAACUAAAUCAAAGCAACUUUUAAUCUUCUGUUUAAAUGUUUAUAUUGAAGAGUGUACCACUUUGUGUUCCACUUCCUUUGUCAUCUGUGUUAUCUUCCCUUUUUGCAGCUGAUACUGUACUGUAUCUAGUUGUUCCUCACUUGGAAGUUUAGAAGCUGUUUUUAGAAUAACCCUACAAUGACUUAUUGAAUUAUUUUUUUAUAACUUACAGAAAUGUUGGAGAUUAAAUUAUUUGUCAAAAAAUAAAGAUGGUAAAGUACAUCUGAGAUUAAAUUCAGCUGAUUAGAUGAAAAUUCAGUCAAGCAAUGAGAAUUAAAAAAAAUACAGCAAAAAAUGUUAGGUACAGAGAAGUGGUAGAUUUAUGUCACUUAUGUGGGAUAAUAUGUAACCUGUUAAAAGUUGUUAUGAAAGGGUAGUGUUUAAAAAAUUAUAUCUGAAGUGUUUGAUACUUGAAAUUUUCUUUUUAAGUUUGUGUUGUUUGGAAUGUAAUAUGCCUGUGUGGAUUGAAGACAUUUGUCUCUGAUCUGGUAUAUUAGGAAGAGUUAAAGAACAGUCUAUUUGCAAGGCUUGUUAUUUUGGGUUUGUAUCUAAAUUAAAGGCUCUGUUUCUCUGCACAG